rnacentral:rRNA from 1 species
AGAACGAACGCUGGCGGCAGGCUUAACACAUGCAAGUCGAACGGUUGUAGCAAUACAGCAGUGGCGCACGGGUGAGUAACGCGUGGGAACAUCCCUUUCAGUUCGGAAUAACCUCGGGAAACUGAGGCUAAUACCGGAUAUUCUCUUCGGAGGAAAGAUUUAUCGCUGAAAGAUUGGCCCGCGUCAGAUUAGCUAGUUGGUGGGGUAAUGGCCUACCAAGGCUCCGAUCUGUAGCUGGUCUGAGAGGACGACCAGCCACACUGGAACUGAGACACGGUCCAGACUCCUACGGGAGGCAGCAGUGGGGAAUAUUGGACAAUGGGCGAAAGCCUGAUCCAGCCAUGCCGCGUGAAUGAUGAAGGCCUUAGGGUUGUAAAGUUCUUUUGCCAGGGAAGAUAAUGACGGUACCUGGAGAAUAAGCACCGGCUAACUUCGUGCCAGCAGCCGC